GAAACUGCACCACUGUGAUGGCAAUGUAGGACAAAGCAGAAGCGCAGCAAAGAGAUAAGGAUAUAAUUACUGCAGACAACCUUGGAGAAAAAUGGCAUCUAAGAACAAUUGUAAGGACCUUUCUGUCCUUGAAUUGCUAUCACUCUGCUAGUAAUGGAAGCCUGAGAAACCUUGAGACUACCAGCUUCUUGAAUCAGAGCUGCACUGAGUGACAUUUUCAACAUCGCUGAACAUGCCAGCAGAGAACAUCAUGGACAUGAACAGAAGAGAUAGAGAGGCAUCAGGUGGCAGCAAUAUAUGCAUAGGAAGACUGCUACAGACAACUAGAAGUAACCUCGUGGUCACAGCCCUGGAACUACAACCACCCCAAUAUCUGCGGAAGGGAUAACACAGGAGAACAUAAUCUGAAAGAUUAUGGAGAGCACU
ensembl:lncRNA